rfam:Alligator mississippiensis ScZkoYb_28, whole genome shotgun sequence.
AUACAUAUCUGGCAGGGGAGCUACCAUGAUCAAGAAGUUUUCCCAGGAUGAGGUGCAUCCAUUGCACUCUGGGCAGGCUGACCCCUGUGAGUUUCCCAAAUGUAAAUAACUUGACUGCACAAUUUGGUGAUAAAGGGGGACUAUCUGCGCUUUCCCCCUG